AGAACGAACGCUGGCGGCGUGGAUAAGACAUGCAAGUCGAACGGGGUCAUAUGAGAUUAUAUCAAGUGUGGUUCAGUGGCGGACGGGUGCGUAACACGUGAGUAAUCUGCCGGAAGGAGGGGGAUAGCCCAUGGGAAACGUGGAUUAAUACCCUGUGUGGUCUCAACAGGCAUCUGUUGACGACUAACGUGGCGCAAGCUGCGGCCUUCCGAUGAACUCGCGGCCUAUCAGCUUGUGGCGGGUAACGCCCACGAAGGCGAUGACGGGUAGCGUGGUCUGAGAGGAUCGACCAGCCACACUGGAACUGAAGACACGGUCCAGACACCGUAGGUGCAGCAGCGAGAUCUAUACACAAGUGGACGAACGCCUGAGUGGUGU
rnacentral:rRNA from 1 species